AACGCAUAUUGCGCUUGUGGGUGACCACAAGCACGUCUGUCUCAGGAACGGUACCCAAAAACCUCAAGACUGCGCUUGGAAAAGAGCGCGGGGUUGGAGAGUGAGCGUCAUGCCGUGGCCGGUGUCUGUGUACAGACUUGUCCGUGGCACGUCGGUCGAAAUGGAAGGGCACGGUUGCUAGAGCCGAAGGGCCUCAGUGAUGGCGAGCCGUGAUGUGCCAGCCUUCCCUCGGGAGGAGCGGCAUCACCGCGAGCCUGUGGGCACCCGAUUUGAGGAGGCACUAGGAGAUGAAUCGGAGCAAAAGGAAGAGGAGAAGAGUGUGCUUUUUUGGACACUUUUUGUUCUCCGGACUCGUUCUGAGAUCAGUCGAGAUUACCCGCUGAACUUAA
rnacentral:misc_RNA from 1 species